AUUGAACGCUGGCGGCAUGCCUUACACAUGCAAGUCGAACGGUAACAGGUCUUCGGAUGCUGACGAGUGGCGAACGGGUGAGUAAUACAUCGGAACGUGCCUAGUAGUGGGGGAUAACUACUCGAAAGAGUGGCUAAUACCGCAUGAGAUCUACGGAUGAAAGCAGGGGAUCGCAAGACCUUGUGCUACUAGAGCGGCAGAUGGCAGAUUAGGGAGUUGGUGGGAUAAAAGCUUACCAAGCCGACGAUCUGUAGCUGGUCUGAGAGGACGAUCAGCCACACUGGGACUGAGACACGGCCCAGACUCCUACGGGAGGCAGCAGUGGGGAAUUUUGGACAAUGGGCGCAAGCCUGAUCCAGCAAUGCCGCGUGCAGGAUGAAGGCCUUCGGGUUGUAAACUGCUUUUGUACGGAACGAAAAGCCCUGGGUUAAUACCCUGGGGUCAUGACGGUACCGUAAGAAUAAGCACCGGCUAACUACGUGCCAGCCGCCGCGGUAACAC
rnacentral:rRNA from 1 species